rnacentral:rRNA from 1 species
AUUGAACGCUGGCGGCAGGCCUAACACAUGCAAGUCGAGCGGUAGCACAGAGAGCUUGCUCUCGGGUGACGAGCGGCGGACGGGUGAGUAAUGUCUGGGAAACUGCCUGAUGGAGGGGGAUAACUACUGGAAACGGUAGCUAAUACCGCAUAACGUCGCAAGACCAAAGUGGGGGACCUUCGGGCCUCAUGCCAUCAGAUGUGCCCAGAUGGGAUUAGCUAGUAGGUGGGGUAAUGGCUCACCUAGGCGACGAUCCCUAGCUGGUCUGAGAGGAUGACCAGCCACACUGGAACUGAGACACGGUCCAGACUCCUACGGGAGGCAGCAGUGGGGAAUAUUGCACAAUGGGCGCAAGCCUGAUGCAGCCAUGCCGCGUGUGUGAAGAAGGCCUUCGGGUUGUAAAGCACUUUCAGCGGGGAGGAAGGCGAUAAGGUUAAUAACCUCAUCGAUUGACGUUACCCGCAGAAGAAGCACCGGCUAACUCCGUGCCAGCAGCCGCGGUAAUACGGAGGGUGCAAGCGUUAAUCGGAAUUACUGGGCGUAAAGCGCACGCAGGCGGUCUGUCAAGUCGGAUGUGAAAUCCCCGGGCUCAACCUGGGAACUGCAUUCGAAACUGGCAGGCUAGAGUCUUGUAGAGGGGGGUAGAAUUCCAGGUGUAGCGGUGAAAUGCGUAGAGAUCUGGAGGAAUACCGGUGGCGAAGGCGGCCCCCUGGACAAAGACUGACGCUCAGGUGCGAAAGCGUGGGGAGCAAACAGGAUUAGAUACCCUGGUAGUCCACGCCGUAAACGAUGUCGAUUUGGAGGUUGUGCCCUUGAGGCGUGGCUUCCGGAGCUAACGCGUUAAAUCGACCGCCUGGGGAGUACGGCCGCAAGGUUAAAACUCAAAUGAAUUGACGGGGGCCCGCGCAAGCGGUGGAGCAUGUGGUUUAAUUCGAUGCAACGCGAAGAACCUUACCUGGUCUUGACAUCCACAGAACUUUCCAGAGAUGGAUUGGUGCCUUCGGGAACUGUGAGACAGGUGCUGCAUGGCUGUCGUCAGCUCGUGUUGUGAAAUGUUGGGUUAAGUCCCGCAACGAGCGCAACCCUUAUCCUUUGUUGCCAGCGGUCCGGCCGGGAACUCAAAGGAGACUGCCAGUGAUAAACUGGAGGAAGGUGGGGAUGACGUCAAGUCAUCAUGGCCCUUACGACCAGGGCUACACACGUGCUACAAUGGCAUAUACAAAGAGAAGCGACCUCGCGAGAGCAAGCGGACCUCAUAAAGUAUGUCGUAGUCCGGAUUGGAGUCUGCAACUCGACUCCAUGAAGUCGGAAUCGCUAGUAAUCGUAGAUCAGAAUGCUACGGUGAAUACGUUCCCGGGCCU